CUCGUGACGAACUCAAUGGGGACGGUGGGCUCUUUUUCCCAUCGUCCCUCGACGCCGGGAUCGCACGGGCGCCUAGAGCGCUCGGGCUUUCCCGGCGGCACAACGAACCCCGGCGCGGAAUGCGCCAAGGAACUUGAACAAGAGAGCGAUGCUCCCAUCACCCCAGACAUGGUGCGUGAGUGGGACGCCGUGCAAUCUCCGAUUAUUAUUCA
rnacentral:misc_RNA from 1 species